rnacentral:lncRNA from 1 species
AAGUUUAAGGACAGCCAGGGCUACACAGAAACCCUAUUUCAAAAAGCAAAAACAAGCUGGGCAGUGGUGACGCACGCCAUUAAUCCCAGCACUUGGGAGGCAGAGGCAGGUAGAUUUCUGAGUUCGAGGCCAGCCUGGUCUACAAAGUGAGUUCCAGGACAGCCAGGGCUACACAGAGAAACCCUGUCUCAGAAAACAAAACAAACAAAAUGGAAGGACUGAAGCAUUUGCGGCAAACCUUGUGUUCUGGCCACAGGGGUUACAACAUAUCCUGCUGACAUGGGGCUUAGGAGAGGAUGGAAGGAUGGAAGACUGGGGUCUCACCCACACAGCCCACUCCAGAUGAUAGCACCUCCUCCUCUCCUGAGGAGAAGCCACUCAAGUGGUGAGGGGCCCAGGUUGGUGGCUGCCCCCGCCUUGUGCUUAGCUUAACUUAAAGUCCACACUUAGUAAGUUAUAUUUUCAUUUGGCUCAAUUGUAGAAGUCGAGGGAAGGUAGAUAGGGGCAUAGCAAUGCAAAGUAUGAGCAAGGACAAGUACUAUACACAGUUGGGUAAAAAUGGUGUCUUUCUAAGUAGGGAUCUGAGGGGACCAGGAGCCCCAGGACAUCCCCAGAGCACCCCCUUUAUGCCUUUUUUCCCUCAAGCCAGCGUGCAGCCUCACCUGCUGGUGACUCAGUGGCAAGGUUUUCGUCAUCGGAGUCCGCAAAGACCUCGGCCAACUCCUGGUCAGACAUGUCCGUCAGCUCAGUGAGGUCCAGGAGAUCGAAGUGGACCUCCAGAGAGGAGACGCUGCUCAGAGGCUCUAGGGGUUCCAGGAGACACAGGCACCUCUCAGUCCCACUUGAAGCUACCAAGAGCCUUAGGGACCUCUUUGCACAGAAUCCACAGGUGACCCGGCACUUUGGGUAUUCAUGUGUGCUUUCAUACAUAUGUGCACACGUGCAGGCCAGAGGCCGACGGGGGUCUUACUUACUUCUCUGCUGUACCUUUUGAGAUGGGGACUCAUAUAACCAGUUUGUCUAGACUGGCUGGCUGGUCAGGAAGUCCCAAGGAUUCUCAUUUCUGUCUCCUCAGUGCAGGACUUAUAUAAAAGCACGUACUGCCAUGCCUGAUUUUUCCUACAGGAGGGCUGGGGAUCUGAACUGGGGUCCUUAAGCUUACAGAGCAAGCAGUUUACCCAUUGAGCCAUUCCCAGAACUGGCACUUCCUGUAAAGCCAGUACUGGACAAGACCAGGCAGACUCAGCAACCGGGUGGCUCUGCACACUCUAGACCGGAGAGCUUUCUCAGCGCCUCCAUUCUACAGACAGGACAACUGCAAGCACAGUUGCCCUUCAUGGGGCAGGGCUGCCGCCUCUCAUACGCAGGCUGCUGGAUGGAUGGAUGGAUGGACAGACGGACGGAUUGUCAGUGAUACUUACGCCUCCUCUCUGUGACCUGCAGGAACCCUGGUGCUGGUAUUGGGAUGCCAACCUCCUCCUCCUCCUCUGCCACAGGUGUACGGCACAUGUCCCCUGUCUCAUGAGCUGAAACAUUCAGGGCAGCCUGUGGUACCUUGACGUCCUUAACGAUCUCUGUAACCAAGAUACAGUGUUACCUCCACACUCAUGGGACCCCACAUCCCUCCAGGAUGGGGCUGUGUGGCAAGUAGGGAGGAACACGAGGCCCUCGCCAUGAUGAGGGGUUCCAUUUCAUGGCCACAAGGAAGCAGAGAUACGCGGCUGCUUCCCUUUAAGCUGUCCUCCCUGGGUGACUGGGCAAAGGUGUCUGCCAGUGGAUGGAGGGACAGACAGACAGACCACUCAGCACUGCAGCUCCAGCGUGCUUAGUCUGGGAACUCUACAUCAGGUUUGCCAGCAUUAGGCUCCACUGUCUCCCACACCGUAGCUUGUCUAGUUAUGGUAUGUUUAUUAGUCACUCGUGGGUUCCUGCCUUUCUUCUGGGCACUGACUGACUUAUAAAAACCCUGUGGAGUGUUUGAGUUCAAAUGGAAAAGAAGCAGAGCAGGAAGCAGCAGCCUUGCUGUCCACCCCAUCCACACACCCACCUAUACACACACACACACACACACACACACACACCAGCCCCACUGUGGUUUGCUGAAGGUUCUUUUCAAAACAGGAAUUGCUUGUCUCCCUUAUUUAACAGCUUUCUGUUGGAGAGCAGGUGUCCCUCUGGGAUCUGCAGACUGCUCAGUCCCACACUAGCACUUUCUUUCCAGUGCCUGGAGCCAUCACCCAGUGGGGUGCUGGACACACGUAUCUCCUCCCAUGGGGUAGUUUAGAUCUUUUCGAUACCUGUCAUCUCCCUUCCCAUGGCACACCCCCCCAGCAGCCUCCUCAUCAUUCCCCACACCCCACCAACUUCCCUCUCUGGUUUCUAGGUCCUUCACAGUGUGUCUGACCCCCACCUGCAGUCACUCAGUGUGGACCCAGGUGGAUGACAUUCCCGUGUGACCCGUGAUCUGUGCUGGGAUGCACAAGUGUCCCGUGGAUUAUUUUUGGCAGCCCUGGGUGAUGAACAUUGAACACCACACUAAGGGCAGCUGCUGCCCUGAGCAAGGUUUGAACUGAGGUGACCACAGCCCAGGCCCCGACAGCUGCAUGUCAGGCUAGGCUGCCUUUCCUAAUGAGAUAUGUUGGCAGCAGAUGUGGGGCUGGAGCAUCCGAGAACACUUUCCCCUAUCAGAUGCAAAAGGCAGAGGGGGAGUGUGGAUCUCAGAUGGGGCCAGGAGCUCAGGAAAGAGGAAUGAGUAGCAGGCUACAGUAGAGUUGUGUGCAGGACUAGUGGACCUUCUCUGAACUCCAGUGUCCAUCUGCAUGAGGGUGAGCCGUGAGGACUGUCCAGGCGGAAGGGAAGAAAUGCUGGUACUGUUCCCACUUUCCUUCAUUUUCUGGGGUCUCUUGUGCUGAGAUGGGGGACCUUGGCUAAAUAGUAAGUAUAGCCCCUAUCUUGCACCCCUUGAUAGAGAUCCUGGGGUUACAUACUCUUCAGCCCCUGGGAUAAGACAAUAGUGGCCUUAUUACAUCUUUUCAUAUUUUGUCCAUGAGGCUUUGGAGUCAAUGAGAUGUGGUACCUCUGUAUAGGGUGCUGGGGAUCAAACCAAGAAUAUCCAAGAGCAUUACACACACUUGGCAAAUGUUGUCUGUAGUUUUAAAAGUAUCCCCAUGUUUUGGUUCUUUUCCAUCUCGCUCUGGCCUUGGUCCUGUCUUUACUCUGUAAAUCCUGGUGCUUUGUCCUUAACCAGAUAUGUGGGGGAGGAGAACGAAGACAGAAUCGUCACCAUCAAGAACAUUCUUGUGGUACAUACCCAUCGUCCCAAACUAGGGAGGUGGAGUCAGGGCUUGGUGAGAAUGUCUAGGAACAAGUAAACAGACCACCCUUGAGGCUGGUGCACUGGUUACACUUACAAUCCUAGCAGUUGGGAAGUGGUGGGCGGACCAUUGAGGUUUGAAGCCAGAAAUUAAAAUCUGCCAGGACAGAGGAAACCUCUAACCCUCAUCCAUCCAUCGCGUUCUCUCUCUCUCACACACACACACACCAUGUGUGUGUAUGAAUGUCCCCCAUCUCUGUGUAUAUGAAAGAAUGACCCUAAGACUCCACAGUUAAUAAGUGGCUGUGCUAAGAAUCAUCCGGUCAGAGGCUGGAGAGAUGGCUCAGCGGGUAAGAGCACUGGCUGCUCUUCUAGAGGUCCUGAGUUCAAUUCCCAGCAACCACAUGAUGGCUCACAACCACCUGUACAGCUACAGUGUACUCAUAUGCAUAAAAUAAAUAAAAUCUUU